rnacentral:misc_RNA from 1 species
GAUGAAGAACGUAGCGAAAUGCGAUAAGUAAUGUGAAUUGCAGAAUUCAGUGAAUCAUCGAAUCUUUGAACGCACAUUGCGCCCGGCAGUACUCUGCCGGGCAUGCCUGUUCGAGCGUCAUUUCAACCCUCAAGCCCUGCUUGGUGUUGGGGCCCCACGGCUGCCGUGGGCCCUGAAAGGAAGUGGCGGGCCCGCUACAACUCCGAGCGUAGUAAUUCAUUAUCUCGCUUAGGGCGUUGGGCGGCGCUCCAGCCGUUAAAGAACCAUCUUUAACUCAAGGUUGACCUCGGAUCAGGUAGGAAUACCCGCUGAACUUAAGCAUAUCAAUAAGCGGAGGA